rnacentral:rRNA from 1 species
UACGAAGGGGGCAAGCGUUGUUCGGAAUUACUGGGCGUAAAGGGCGCGCAGGCGGCUCUGAAAGUCAGAUGUGAAAGCCCCGGGCUUAACCUGGGAAUUGCAUUUGAUACUCUGGAGCUUGAGUACGGGAGAGGAUAGUGGAAUUCCCAGUGUAGAGGUGAAAUUCGUAGAUAUUGGGAAGAACACCGGUGGCGAAGGCGGCUCACUGGCUCGUAACUGACGCUCAUGCACGACAGCGUGGGGAUCAAACAGG